AUGCGAGAAGAGCCGGAAGGCAAGUGGGGCCUAGAGAAAAACGGUAUGUUCAACGGCAUGAUUGGUCAGCUUCAGCGUGAGGAAGUUGAUUUUUGUACAAUAGCUGGACCUUCUCCUGGGCGUCUGAGAGUCAUCAGUUUUUUACGAACGUAUCCUUCUGAUCUUAUGACAGUCGUUACCUUAAAGCCUUCUCUUCUUCCUCAACACCUCUCAAUAAUCCGACCCUUCUCAGGUAUGGUGUGGGCUACUGUGUUUACGUGUAUGGCAGUAUGGGGUGCAGUGCUGUGGACUUUGCAUCACACAUUUCGAAGAUUCGUUACGGGAAAAAAUGUGCAACUAAACACAGCUCUCUUGUAUAGCUGGGGUUCGCUACUCGAAGAAUCUAUGAAGAGUCCAUUCAUCAACUCCUCUGCACAAAUAAUGGUAGGAUGUUGGCUGCUGUUCUCUUUGAUAAUCACGUCCAGCUUCAAGUCUUCCUUGAUUGCCCACCUCACCGUUCAGGGAAAGUCCCGCCCGCCGGACACUCUGGCAGAGCUUGUUAACUCUGACGGCUGGGGAUGGGCCAUCGAACCGUGGCUUCUAAACGGUGUUCCUCUUGAGUAUCUUUCAAAACACCCGGAUCCGAUUGUACAGACGAUACAUAG